CAAAUGUUGAAGUUAAGUUUUCCAAUAAUGUGACUUCUUAAAAGUUUUAUUAAAGGGGAGGGGCAAAUAUUGGCAAUUAGUUGGCAGUGGCCUGUUACGGUUGGGAUUGGUGGGGUGGGUUUAGGUAAUUGUUUAGUUUAUGAUUGCAGAUAAACUCAUGCCAGAGAACUUAAAGUCUUAGAAUGGAAAAAGUAAAGAAAUAUCAACUUCCAAGUUGGCAAGUAACUCCCAAUGAUUUAGUUUUUUUCCCCCCAGUUUGAAUUGGGAAGCUGGGGGAAGUUAAAUAUGAGCCACUGGGUGUACCAGUGCAUUAAUUUGGGCAAGGAAAGUGUCAUAAUUUGAUACUGUAUCUGUUUUCCUUCAAAGUAUAGAGCUUUUGGGGAAGGAAAGUAUUGAACUGGGGGUUGGUCUGGCCUACUGGGCUGACAUUAACUACAAUUAUGGGAAAUGCAAAAGUUGUUUGGAUAUGGUAGUGUGUGGUUCUCUUUUGGAAUUUUUUUCAGGUGAUUUAAUAAUAAUUUAAAACUACUAUAGAAACUGCAGAGCAAAGGAAGUGGCUUAAUGAUCCUGAAGGGAUUUCUUCUGAUGGUAGCUUUUGUAUUAUCAAGUAAGAUUCUAUUUUCAGUUGUGUGUAAGCAAGUUUUUUUUUAGUGUAGGAGAAAUACUUUUCCAUUGUUUAACUGCAAAACAAGAUGUUAAGGUAUGCUUCAAAAAUUUUGUAAAUUGUUUAUUUUAAACUUAUCUGUUUGUAAAUUGUAACUGAUUAAGAAUUGUGAUAGUUCAGCUUGAAUGUCUCUUAGAGGGUGGGCUUUUGUUGAUGAGGGAGGGGAAACUUUUUUUUUUUCUAUAGACUUUUUUCAGAUAACAUCUUCUGAGUCAUAACCAGCCUGGCAGUAUGAUGGCCUAGAUGCAGAGAAAACAGCUCCUUGGUGAAUUGAUAAGUAAAGGCAGAAAAGAUUAUAUGUCAUACCUCCAUUGGGGAAUAAGCAUAACCCUGAGAUUCUUACUACUGAUGAGAACAUUAUCUGCAUAUGCCAAAAAAUUUUAAGCAAAUGAAAGCUACCAAUUUAAAGUUACGGAAUCUACCAUUUUAAAGUUAAUUGCUUGUCAAGCUAUAACCACAAAAAUAAUGAAUUGAUGAGAAAUACAAUGAAGAGGCAAUGUCCAUCUCAAAAUACUGCUUUUACAAAAGCAGAAUAAAAGCGAAAAGAAAUGAAAAUGUUACACUACAUUAAUCCUGGAAUAAAAGAAGCCGAAAUAAAUGAGAGAUGAGUUGGGAUCAAGUGGAUUGAGGAGGCUGUGCUGUGUGCCAAUGUUUCGUUUGCCUCAGACAGGUAUCUCUUCGUUAUCAGAAGAGUUGCUUCAUUUCAUCUGGGAGCAGAAAACAGCAGGCAGCUGUUAACAGAUAAGUUUAACUUGCAUCUGCAGUAUUGCAUGUUAGGGAUAAGUGCUUAUUUUUAAGAGCUGUGGAGUUCUUAAAUAUCAACCAUGGCACUUUCUCCUGACCCCUUCCCUAGGGGAUUUCAGGAUUGAGAAAUUUUUCCAUCGAGCCUUUUUAAAAUUGUAGGACUUGUUCCUGUGGGCUUCAGUGAUGGGAUAGUACACUUCACUCAGAGGCAUUUGCAUCUUUAAAUAAUUUCUUAAAAGCCUCUAAAGUGAUCAGUGCCUUGAUGCCAACUAAGGAAAUUUGUUUAGCAUUGAAUCUCUGAAGGCUCUAUGAAAGGAAUAGCAUGAUGUGCUGUUAGAAUCAGAUGUUACUGCUAAAAUUUACAUGUUGUGAUGUAAAUUGUGUAGAAAACCAUUAAAUCAUUCAAAAUAAUAAACUAUUUUUAUUAGAGAAUGUAUACUUUUAGAAAGCUGUCUCCUUAUUUAAAUAAAAUAGUGUUUGUCUGUAGUUCAGUGUUGGGGCAAUCUUGGGGGGGAUUCUUCUCUAAUCUUUCAGAAACUUUGUCUGCGAACACUCUUUAAUGGACCAGAUCAGGAUUUGAGCGGAAGAACGAAUGUAACUUUAAGGCAGGAAAGACAAAUUUUAUUCUUCAUAAAGUGAUGAGCAUAUAAUAAUUCCAGGCACAUGGCAAUAGAGGCCCUCUAAAUAAGGAAUAAAUAACCUCUUAGACAGGUGGGAGAUUAUGAUCAGAGUAAAAGGUAAUUACACAUUUUAUUUCCAGAAAGUCAGGGGUCUAUAAAUUGACAGUGAUUAGAGUAAUACUUUUUCACAUUUCCAAAGUUUGCAUGUUAACUUUAAAUGCUUACAAUCUUAGAGUGGUAGGCAAUGUUUUACACUAUUGACCUUAUAUAGGGAAGGGAGGGGGUGCCUGUGGGGUUUUAAAGAAUUUUCCUUUGCAGAGGCAUUUCAUCCUUCAUGAAGCCAUUCAGGAUUUUGAAUUGCAUAUGAGUGCUUGGCUCUUCCUUCUGUUCUAGUGAGUGUAUGAGACCUUGCAGUGAGUUUAUCAGCAUACUCAAAAUUUUUUUCCUGGAAUUUGGAGGGAUGGGAGGAGGGGGUGGGGCUUACUUGUUGUAGCUUUUUUUUUUUUUACAGACUUCACAGAGAAUGCAGUUGUCUUGACUUCAGGUCUGUCUGUUCUGUUGGCAAGUAAAUGCAGUACUGUUCUGAUCCCGCUGCUAUUAGAAUGCAUUGUGAAACGACUGGAGUAUGAUUAAAAGUUGUGUUCCCCAAUGCUUGGAGUAGUGAUUGUUGAAGGAAAAAAUCCAGCUGAGUGAUAAAGGCUGAGUGUUGAGGAAAUUUCUGCAGUUUUAAGCAGUCGUAUUUGUGAUUGAAGCUGAGUACAUUUUGCUGGUGUAUUUUUAGGUAAAAUGCUUUUUGUUCAUUUCUGGUGGUGGGAGGGGACUGAAGCCUUUAGUCUUUUCCAGAUGCAACCUUAAAAUCAGUGACAAGAAACAUUCCAAACAAGCAACAGUCUUCAAGAAAUUAAACUGGCAAGUGGAAAUGUUUAAACAGUUCAGUGAUCUUUAGUGCAUUGUUUAUGUGUGGGUUUCUCUCUCCCCUCCCUUGGUCUUAAUUCUUACAUGCAGGAACACUCAGCAGACACACGUAUGCGAAGGGCCAGAGAAGCCAGACCCAGUAAGAAAAAAUAGCCUAUUUACUUUAAAUAAACCAAACAUUCCAUUUUAAAUGUGGGGAUUGGGAACCACUAGUUCUUUCAGAUGGUAUUCUUCAGACUAUAGAAGGAGCUUCCAGUUGAAUUCACCAGUGGACAAAAUGAGGAAAACAGGUGAACAAGCUUUUUCUGUAUUUACAUACAAAGUCAGAUCAGUUAUGGGACAAUAGUAUUGAAUAGAUUUCAGCUUUAUGCUGGAGUAACUGGCAUGUGAGCAAACUGUGUUGGCGUGGGGGUGGAGGGGUGAGGUGGGCGCUAAGCCUUUUUUUAAGAUUUUUCAGGUACCCCUCACUAAAGGCACCGAAGGCUUAAAGUAGGACAACCAUGGAGCCUUCCUGUGGCAGGAGAGACAACAAAGCGCUAUUAUCCUAAGGUCAAGAGAAGUGUCAGCCUCACCUGAUUUUUAUUAGUAAUGAGGACUUGCCUCAACUCCCUCUUUCUGGAGUGAAGCAUCCGAAGGAAUGCUUGAAGUACCCCUGGGCUUCUCUUAACAUUUAAGCAAGCUGUUUUUAUAGCAGCUCUUAAUAAUAAAGCCCAAAUCUCAAGCGGUGCUUGAAGGGGAGGGAAAGGGGGAAAGCGGGCAACCACUUUUCCCUAGCUUUUCCAGAAGCCUGUUAAAAGCAAGGUCUCCCCACAAGCAACUUCUCUGCCACAUCGCCACCCCGUGCCUUUUGAUCUAGCACAGACCCUUCACCCCUCACCUCGAUGCAGCCAGUAGCUUGGAUCCUUGUGGGCAUGAUCCAUAAUCGGUUUCAAGGUAAUAGCCUGCAGCUGGUGUUUUGAGAAGCCCUACUGCUGAAAACUUAACAAUUUUGUGUAAUAAAAAUGGAGAAGCUCUAAAUUGUUGUGGUUCUUUUGUGAAUAAAAAAAUCUUGAUUGGGGAAAAAA
ensembl:lncRNA MALAT1 metastasis associated lung adenocarcinoma transcript 1